GCUCCCGUAGCUCAGCUGGAUAGAGCACCAGUUUCCUAAACUGGGGGUCAGCAGUUCGAACCUGCUCGGGGGCACCA
rnacentral:tRNA from 1 species